rnacentral:rRNA from 1 species
AUAGAUUUUAUUUAUUAAUUUUGUUGUAUAAUUUAUUAAAAAUAUUAAAAAUAAUUUUAUAGAAAAAAGUUUUAGUAUUGUUUAAAGAAAAAAUAAAUUUAAUUAUAGUUUAAUAGUAUUGUAAAAGAAAAUUGAAA